AUGCAUGUCUAAGUAUAAGCAAUUAUACAGCGAAACUGCGAAUGGCUCAUUAUAUAAGUUAUCGUUUAUUUGAUAGUGCCUUACUACUUGGAUAACCGUGGUAAUUCUAGAGCUAAUACAUGCUGAAAGCCCCGACUCACGGAGGGGCGUAUUUAUUAGAUUAAAAACCAAUGCCCUUCGGGGCUCCUUGGUGAUUCAUGAUAACUUCUCGAAUCGCACGGCCUUGCGCCGGCGAUGGUUCAUUCAAAUUUCUUCCCUAUCAACUUUCGAUGUUUGGGUAGUGGCCAAACAUGGUGGCAACGGGUAACGGAGGGUUAGGGCUCGACCCCGGAGAAGGAGCCUGAGAAACGGCUCCUACAUCCAAGGAAGGCAGCAGGCGCGCAAAUUACCCAAUCCCGACUCGGGGAGGUAGUGACAAUAAAUACUGAUGCAGGGCUCUUUAGGGUCUUGCAAUUGGAAUGAGUACAAUUUAAAUCCCUUAACGAGGAACAAUUGGAGGGCAAGUCUGGUGCCAGCAGCCGCGGUAACUCCAGCUCCAAUAGCGUAUAUUAAAGUUGUUGUGGUUAAAAAGCUCGUAGUUGAACCUUGGGCCUGGCCGUCCGGUCCGCCUCACCGCGUGCACUGGCACGGCCGGGCCUUCCCACCGCGGAAUCGCAUGCCCUUUACUGGGCGUGUCGGGGAAGCGGUACUUUUACUGUGAAAAAAUUAGAGUGCUCUAAGCAGGCCUAUGCUCGAAUACAUUAGCAUGGAAUAAUAGAAUAGGACAGGCGUUCUAUUUUGUUGGUUUCUAGGACGUCUGUAAUGAUUAACAGAAACAAUCGGGGGCGUCAGUAUUGCAUCGUCAGAGGUGAAAUUCUUAGAUCGACGCAAGACUAACUACUGCGAAAGCAUUCGCCAAGGGUGUUUUCAUUAAUCAGGAACGAAAGUUAGGGGAUCGAAGACGAUCAGAUACCGUCGUAGUCUUAACCAUAAACUAUGCCGACUAGGGAUCGGGCGGUGUUAAUUUUUGACCCGCUCGGCACCUUACGAGAAAUCUUAAGUGCUUGGGCUCCAGGGGGA
rnacentral:rRNA from 1 species